AUGGAGGAGAGUGUUUUAGAUAGGGUGAGGUGCAAAGCCAGGGCUGGAAAAAUAGCUCAGUGUGAUGCUAACACUGCAUCAUGGCAUGGUGCAAAAGUUCAAUGUGGUGCAAUUGAUGGUGGUUAAACUUUUACACCAUGACGAACUUUUCAGCAUCACGUUCAACUGUGUCCCGCCUAUCCACGAGUGAAAUUCCGGGAGAUUCCCGAAGUGUUUGUCCUUGUAGCCCCCACUAUAGCCUGCUCAGGGCCUUUUUGGUGGUAGUCGUCAUGAUGGGCAUAUGUUAAAUAUUUUAGCUCGCC
rnacentral:sRNA from 2 species